rnacentral:rRNA from 1 species
GAUGAACGCUGGCGGCGUGCCUAAUACAUGCAAGUCGAGCGAAAAGACGCGGAGCUUGCUCCUCUGACGUUAGCGGAGGACGGGUGAGAAACACGUGGAUAACCUACCUAUCAGACUGGGAUAACUUCGGGAAACCGGAGAUAAUACCGGAUAAUAUAUUGAUCCGCAUGGUUCAAUAGUGAAAGACGGUUUUGCUGUCACUUAUCGAUGGAUAUGCGCCGCAUGAGCUAGUUGGUACGGUAACGGCUUAUGACGGCGAGGAUGCGUAGCCGACGGGUGAGGGUGAUCGGCCGCACUGGAAGGUGGACGCGGUCCAGACGCCUACGGGAGGGAGCAGUAUGGAAUCGGACGCAGUGGUCGGAAGCAUUGCACAGCGACGGCGCGUGUGUGAUGAAGGUGUUGGGAGCGGAAUGCUCUGUUAUGAGGGAAGAACAGAUGUGGAAGGAGCUAAGGACGGCUUGACGGUACCUGGUCAGAAAGCCACGGCUAACUACGUG